AUUGAACGCUGGCGGCAGGCUUAACACAUGCAAGUCGAGCGAGUGGCGGACGGGUGAGUAAUGUCUGGGAAACUGCCUGAUGGAGGGGGAUAACUACUGGAAACGGUAGCUAAUACCGCAUACCAUCAGAUGUGCCCAGCUGGGAUUAGCUAGUAGGUGGGGUAAUGGCUCACCUGGGCGACGAUCCCUAGCUGGUCGGAGGGGAUGACCGGCCACACUGGAACUGAGACACUGUCCAGACUCCUACGGGAGGCAGCGGUGGGGAAUAGUGCACAAUGGGCGCAAGCCGGAUGCAGCCAUGCCGCGUGUGUGAGUAAGGCCUUCGGGUUGUAAGGCACUUUCAGCGAGGAGGCGUUACUCGCAGAAGAAGCACCGGCUAACUCCGUGCCAGCCGCCGCGGUAAUAC
rnacentral:rRNA from 1 species